rnacentral:rRNA from 1 species
UCGGGUUGUAAAGCACUUUUGUCCGGAAAGAAAACCUUCGCUCUAAUACAGUGGGGGGAUGACGGUACCGGAAGAAUAAGCACCGGCUAACUACGUGCCAGCAGCGCGGUAAUCGUAGGGUGCGAGCGUUAAUCGGAAUUACUGGGCGUAAAGCGUGCGCAGGCGGUUCGUUAAGACAGAUGUGAAAUCCCCGGGCUUAACCUGGGAACUGCAUUUGUGACUGGCGAGCUAGAGUAUGGCAGAGGGGGGUAGAAUUCCACGUGUAGCAGUGAAAUGCGUAGAGAUGUGGAGGAAUACCGAUGGCGAAGGCAGCCCCCUGGGCCAAUACUGACGCUCAUGCACGAAAGCGUGGGGAGCAAACAGGAUUAGAUACCCUGGUAGUCCACGCCCUAAACGAUGUCAACUAGUUGUUGGGUCUUCAUUGACUUAGUAACGUAGCUAACGCGUGAAGUUGACCGCCUGGGGAGUACGGUCGCAAGAUUAAAACUCAAAGGAAUUGACGGGGACCCGCACAAGCGGUGGAUGAUGUGGAUUAAUUCGAUGCAACGCGAAAAACCUUACCUACCCUUGACAUGGUCGGAACCCUGCUG